CCUACGGGAGGCAGCAGUGGGGAAUCUUGCACAAUGGAGGAAACUCUGAUGCAGCGAUGCCGCGUGAGUGAAGAAGGCCUUUGGGUUGUAAAGCUCUUUUGUAGGGGAAGAUAAUGACUGUACCCUAAGAAUAAGGUCCGGCUAACUUCGUGCCAGCAGCCGCGGUAAUACGAAGGGACCUAGCGUAGUUCGGAAUUACUGGGCGUAAAGCGCGCGUAGGCCGUUGAGUUAGUUAAUUGUGAAAUCCCAAAGCUUAACUUUGGAACUGCAAUUAAAACUGCUCGACUAGAGUUUGAUAGAGGAAAGCGGAAUACAUAGUGUAGAGGUGAAAUUCGUAGAUAUUAUGUAGAACACCAGUUGCGAAGGCGGCUUUCUGGAUCAACACUGACGCUGAGGCGCGAAAGUAUGGGUAGCAAAGAGGAUUAGAUACCCUCGUAGUCCAUACCAUAAACGAUGAUUGCUAGAUGUUGGAAAUUUAUUUUCAGUAUCGCAGCUAACGCAUUAAGCAAUCCGCCUGGGGAUACGACCGCAAGGUUAAAACUCAAAUGAAUUGACGGNNGAGAGNGCGAGACGACACGAGGAGAG
rnacentral:rRNA from 1 species